ACGAGGGCGAUAGCAAUAUUGCCCGAGUGGCGGACGGGUGAGUAACGCGUGAACAAUCUGCCUGUAUCAGGGGAAUAACACUAAGAAAUUGGUGCUAAUACCGCAUAAGACCACGGAGAGGCAUCUCCCCGGGGUAAAAGAAUAAUCGGAUACAGAUGAGUUCGCGUCCCAUUAGGUAGUUGGUGAGGUAACGGCCCACCAAGCCGACGAUGGGUAGCCGACCUGAGAGGGUGAUCGGCCACAUUGGAACUGAGAGACGGUCCAGACUCCUACGGGAGGCAGCAGUGGGGAAUAUUGGGCAAUGGAGGGAACUCUGACCCAGCAACGCCGCGUGAGUGAAGAAGGUUUUCGGAUUGUAAAACUCUUUAAGCGGGGACGAAGAAAGUUACUGUACCCGCAGAAUAAGCAUCGGCUAACUACGUGCCAGCAGCCGCGGUAAUACGUAGGAUGCAAGCGUUAUCCGGAAUGACUGGGCGUAAAGGGUGCGUAGGUGGUUUGUCAAGUUGGCAGCGUAAUUCCGUGGCUUAACCGCGGAACUACUGCCAAAACUGAUAGGCUUGAGUGCGGCAGGGGUAUGUGGAAUUCCUAGUGUAGCGGUGGAAUGCGUAGAUAUUAGGAGGAACACCGGUGGCGAAAGCGACAUACUGGGCCGUAACUGACACUGAAGCACGAAAGCGUGGGGAGCAAACAGGAUUAGAUACC
rnacentral:rRNA from 1 species